UACGGAGGGGGCUAGCGUUGUUCGGAAUCACUGGGCGUAAAGCGCACGUAGGCGGCUUUGUAAGUUAGAGGUGAAAGCCCAGGGCUCAACCCUGGAAUUGCCUUUAAGACUGCAUCGCUUGAACAUCGGAGAGGUAAGUGGAAUUCCGAGUGUAGAGGUGAAAUUCGUAGAUAUUCGGAAGAACACCAGUGGCGAAGGCGGCGACCUGGGCCAAUACUGACGCUGAGGUGCGAAAGCGUGGGGAGCAAACAGG
rnacentral:rRNA from 1 species